rnacentral:rRNA from 1 species
GAGAGGCUUCGGCAAUGGGGGAAACCCUGACCGAGCGACGCCGCGUGGGGGAUGAAGGCCCUUGGGUUGUAAACCCCUUUUGUUCGGGAAGAAAUGCGAUCAGGUGAACAAUCUGGUCGUUUGACGGUACCGGACGAAUAAGCACCGGCUAACUCCGUGCCAGCAGCCACGGUAAUACGGAGGGUGCGAGCGUUGUCCGGAUUUAUUGGGUUUAAAGGGUGCGUAGGCGGCCCGUUAAGUCCGGGGUGAAAGCCCGUUGCUCAACAACGGAACUGCCCUGGAUACUGACGGGCUUGAGUACAGACGAGGUUGGCGGAAUGGACCGAGUAGCGGUGAAAUGCAUAGAUACGGUCCAGAACCCCGAUUGCGAAGGCAGCUGACUAGGCUGUUACUGACGCUGAGGCACGACAGCGUGGGGAGCGAA